rnacentral:tRNA from 2 species
GCGCGGCUAGCUCAGUGGUAGAGCAUCGCCUUCACACGGCGGGGGUCGGGGGUUCGAAACCCUCGCCGCGCACCA